rnacentral:rRNA from 1 species
UUCGCCAGGGAACAACGAGCCCCAGCUUAAAACCCAAAGGACUUGGCGGUGCUUUAGACCCCCCUAGAGGAGCCUGUUCUAGAACCGAUACCCCCCGUUCAACCUCACCCUUUCUUGUUUUUCCCGCCUAUAUACCGCCGUCGUCAGCUUACCCUGUGAAGGACUUAUAGUAAGCAGAAUUGGCAAAGCCCAAAACGUCAGGUCGAGGUGUAGCGUACGAGAGGGGAAGAAAUGGGCUACAUUUACUGACCCAGUAAACACGGAUCCUGCACUGAAAUGUGCAUUUGAAGGAGGAUUUAGCAGUAAGGGGAGAAUAGAGUGCCCCCCUGAAAACGGCCCUGAAGCGCGCACACACCGCCCGUCACUCUCCCCGAUAGAUAACACAAAUAAAUAAUAAACCACAUAAAAAUAAGGGGAGGCAAGUCGUAACAUGGUAAGUGUACCGGAAGGUGCACUUGGAAAACC